UCGAACGCUCUCUCGCAAGAGAGGGAGUGGCGGACGGGUGAGUACCACGUGGAUGACCUUCCCUGAGGUGAGGAAUACCGACGAGAAAUCGUCGACAAUACCGCAUAGGCUCGGCAACGAGCAAAGCUUCGCGCAAGCGAGGCGCCACAGGAUGGGUCCGCGCCCGAUUAGCUCGUUGGUGGGGUAAAGGCCUACCAAGGCGACGAUCGGUAGCUGGUCUGAGAGGAUGAGCAGCCACACUGGGAUUGAGAACGGCCCAGACUCCUACGGGAGGCAGCAGUGAGGAAUUUUCCGCAAUGGGCGCAAGCCUGACGGAGCAACGCCGCGUGCAGGAUGACGGUCUUCGGAUCGUAAACUGCUUUUCCUAGGGAAGAGAACGGACGGUACCUGGGGAAGAAGCCUCGGCUAACUACGUGCCAGCAGCCGCGGUAAGACGUAGGAGGCAAGCGUUAUCCGGAGUUACUGGGCGUAAAGCGCACGCAGGCGGUCCGCCGCGUUUGAGGUCACAGCUCCCAGCUUCACUGGGAGAGCGCCUUGAAGACGGGCGGACUCAGAGGACCAGAGAGGGACAGAGAAUUCCGGGUGGAGCGGUGAAAUGCGUAGAGAUCCGGAGGAAUACCGAAGGCGAAGGCCCUGUCCUGGCUGGCUCCUGACGCUAAUGUGCGAAAGCUAGGGGAGCGAACGGGAUUAGAUACCCCGGUAGUCCUAGCCGUAAACGAUGACCACUAGACGUGGGAGGGAUCGACCCCUUCUGUGUCGCAGCUAACGCGAGAAGUGGUCCGCCUG
rnacentral:rRNA from 1 species